ACUGUUUUGUUUAUGAUGCUUUAAUUGUUACAGAGCAAGAGAAGAAUGGGUUGUUAGAAGCAGCAAACUGGAAAAGCAAAUAGAAACAAAGGUAGGGUAUUGUACUAGAAAUAUACCAAUGCUCUUCCAACACAAUACGGAGAACACACAAUAUUGGGUAGUGCUCCUUCUUGUUCCCAGAAAUGGCUGAAACUGAGAAUAAGGAUGGAAUACUUUAACUUGAAGGAACUGGCCUAGAGAGGAAGGUUAAAGGAGCACCGUGUGACCUGCUCAAGGAGCUUCUGCUGGAGAUGAGGAAAAGCAGAAAAAUGCAGCAGGACUGCCCCGUGGAGGACCAAGAGACGAGUGCCUUCCCAUCGUGCAGGUUUUGAAAGUAGUGGUGUCCUAGACAUCAGAACCAAAGCACAUGCAGUAGUAGACAGUUUGUCCAGGCUACUCUGCCUCUAGCUAUAGAUUAUCACAAAAUACCAAAGCUGACACCUUAAGUGACAGGCUGCAGGACGCAUCUGGGCUGGGAGAGGAAUUGCACCCUUACACCACAUGUAGACUGGCAGGCUGAGAGUUGCUACCUGCUGAGGGUUGCUGUCUGAAAGGAACUAAAAGAAAACAGCAGUGCAAACAGACAAUUAUGUUCCAAGUAUCAUAUUGUUGCCUGACUGACUGCCAAGGCUGACUGAUAAACAAAGAUUAAAAACCCGUUUGACUACAUCACCGGGUGAUUCUGCAGGUUCCUUGGAGCUGUGAGGUGUUGCCGGUACCAGUUGCAGGAGCUCCUGGUACCACAUCCGCAUGGGGGAAAAAAAGAAAAAGAAAAAAAAAAGAUGUAGCAGAGCAGAGAAAAACACUAAUAGGAAGAAUACCCUGAUACCUGAAAGGGAUGCUGGUCAUGUAACUUUUACAGAACCUCCUAUGUCUACCCUUUCUGGUAGAAGCUGAACUCUCUGAAACCCCAAGCAAUGGGAUUUACCAGUUUGCACUCAGACCCUUCCAUUUGUCCCUCUGUCUAGCCAUAUCAGUACUAUCAUUAGUCCUUGACUUCCCUUCCUUUGCCAAAGUACUUCUGUAAGUCAACAUUGACUUACAGAUGUAAGCCACCCAUCCUCUCAAACAUCACAGCAAUAAAGGUAGAGGGGCAAUAGUCACUGCCAAAUACCACUGCGUGGAGUUUGCAGGAGAGGUGCCAAUAUAUGUAAAUGUGCUGCUUCUAGUAAGAUUGUGCUCUAAAGUCUUCUUAAGAUAUUGUUCCUCCUAUACCUGGUUGAGUGCCCUUCCCUUGAACUUCUGGAGCUAUCGUGGAUUCUCUUGUUCUUUGUUUUAACUUAGGAAAUGACGCAAAGGACACAUUUCUCAUUUUC